rnacentral:ribozyme from 13 species
UAAAAAAUAAAAAGGAAAAAAAAAAAAUGAAAAAAAAGGUAUUGUUCUCCUCUGUGCUUGUU